GAUAGGAUGGCUGAAGUGUAGGCUGUAAAUUGUAAAUUUAUAAAUGGUUAUAUAACCUCUUAUCA
rnacentral:tRNA from 1 species